rnacentral:lncRNA from 1 species
CAUGAAACACUCACACUGUAGUAUUAUUUUCAGUGAGAUUAGUUACAAUAUAUCAUAUUAUUUAGCAUUUAUUUAUCUUUUUUCUUUUCUAGGGUCGAAUGGGUCGAAAAGGUUUCCCUGGAAAAGUUGGGUCCGAAGGUCUUAAGGUAAGUCGUGCCACUCCAAUUUUAAUAUUUAAAAAAUGUCUCUUAAGAUUAACUCUUUUAUGUUAAAUUUGCAUUACAUAUGUUUACUUAGGGAGAAUCUGGUAUCACAGGAAAAGUUGGACCCAUGGGAGAAAGAGGUUUGGUGGGUUUCAUUGGACCUGUGGGAGAGGCUGGACUCGCAGGAGAGAAGGGCGAUCGAGGGGGGAUGGGCGUUCCUGGACCACCUGGAGAAAAAGGAUCCAUGGGUCAUCCUGGGACACCUGGUGAGACUGGACUACCUGGACCACCAGGAAGAACAGGCCCCCCUGGAGCGGCUGGACCAACCGGUACCAGAGGACCCAAAGGCUUACGGGGAGCACGAGGGCCUGAUGGUCCAACAGGAGAGAAUGGCAUUAAAGGAAAGAAGGGACUCGACGGCCCUCCUGGAAAACUUGGUUUUCCUGGUCCACAGGUAAAGUUUCAGGGUGUUUUUCUACUUUCCACUCCUAUCUCACAUUAAUUAUGUGGUGCUUAUGUUACCCUGGAGGGGAGAGGCAUCAAUGUGAUUUAAAAGACCU